GACCCGAGCCGGGAAGGACCUUGGGCGGACGAGCCGCGCGUCCCGCAGCCAUGGAGCAGGACGACCCGGCCGAGGCGCUGACGGAGCUGCGCGAGCGGCGGCUGGGCGCGCUGGAGCUGCUGCAGGCGGCGGCCGGCUCGGGCUUGGCAGCCUACGCGGUGUGGGCGCUGCUGCUCCAGCCCGGCUUCCGGCGCGUGCCGCUGCGGCUGCAGGUGCCCUACGUCGGCGCGAGCGCGCGGCAGGUGGAGCACGUGUUGUCGCUGCUGCGAGGACGCCCCGGAAAAACGGUGGAUCUGGGCUCUGGCGACGGCAGGAUCGUGCUGGCGGCCCACAGGUGCGGCCUCCGCCCGGCCGUGGGCUACGAGCUGAACCCCUGGCUGGUGGCGCUGGCGCGGCUGCACGCCUGGAGGGCCGGCUGUGCCGGCAGCGUCUGCUAUCGCCGCAAGGAUCUCUGGAAGGUAACCUGGGGAUCCCUGGCCACCCGCUGACAGCCCAAGGUGCGGCUGACACCUGCGAGGGCUGGGGGCUGGGACUCGGAAGCUGCGAUGACCCGGUGCCCACCAGGCCUCUCCCCGGCUGGGGCGACUUCUCUUCCGGCAGCUCCCGCUGCUGGAGGACAAGCUGCGGACAGAGCUGCCUGCCGGGGCCCGCGUGGUGUCUGGGCGCUUCCCACUCCCCACCUGGCAGCCUGUGGCCGUGGUUGGCGAGGGCCUGGACCGAGUAUGGGCUUAUGAUGUUCCUGAGGGUGGGCAGGCUGGGGAGGCCUUCUCCUUGCGGAUACCCAUCCAGGCUGCCCCCGG
rnacentral:sRNA from 1 species